GGCUUAACACAUGCAAGUCGUACGGAGCAUGCCCUUCGGGGUAUGCUUAGUGGCGCACGGGUGCGUAACACGUAGGCAACCUGCCCAUACUCGGGGGAUAACCACCGGAAACGGUGGCUAAUACCGCAUAUUGACUGGAGACGGCAUCGUCUCCUGUUGAAAGGCUUCGGACGGGUAUGGAUGGGCCUGCGGCGGAUUAGCUAGUUGGUAGGGUAACGGACUACCAAUGCUACGAUCCGUAGCUGGUCUGAGAGGAUGAUCAGCCAAACUGGCACUGAGACACGGGCCAGACUCCUACGGGAGGCAGCAGUGAGGAAUCUUGCGCAAUGGAGGAAACUCUGACGCAGCCACGCCGCGUGAAGGAAGACACCCCUAUGGGGCGUAAACUUCUUUUCUGUGGGAAGAACACUCUGGUCACCAGGGUCUGACGGUACCACAGGAAUAAGCACCGGCUAACUCCGUGCCAGCAGCCGCGGUAAUACGGAGGGUGCAAGCGUUGUCCGGAAUCACUGGGUGUAAAGGGUGUGUAGGCGGGGCAGUAAGUCAGGGGUGAAAGCCUGCGGCUUAACCGUAGAAUUGCCUUUGAUACUGCUGUUCUUGAAUACUGGAGAGGUCGCUGGAAUUCGUGGUGUAGCGGUGAAAUGCGUAGAUAUCACGAGGAACACCAGAGGUGUAGACGGGCGACUGGACAGUUAUUGACGCUGAGGCACGAAAGCGUGGGGAGCAAACAGGAUUAGAUACCCUGGUAGUCCACGCUGUAAACGAUGGAUGCUCGGUGUUGCCCCUAUCAUGGGGGCAGUGCCUAAGCUAACGCGUUA
rnacentral:rRNA from 1 species